UACGUAGGGUGCAGGCGUUAAUCGGAAUUACUGGGCGUAAAGCGUGCGCAGGCGGUCUUUUAAGUCAGAUGUGAAAUCCCCGGGCUUAACCUGGGACUGCGUUUGAAACUGAAAGGCUAGAGUGUGGCAGAGGGGGGGUGGAAUUCCACGUGUAGCAGUGAAAUGCGUAGAGAUGUGGAGGAAUACCGAUGGCGAAGGCAGCCCCCUGGGAUAAUACUGACGCUCAUGCACGAAAGCGUGGGGAGCAAACAG
rnacentral:rRNA from 1 species